UACAGAGGGGGCGAGCGUUGUUCGGAAUUACUGGGCGUAAAGGGCGCGUAGGCGGCCUCUUAAGUCGAACGUGAAAUCCCCGGGCUCAACCCGGGAACUGCGUCUGAUACUGGUUGGCUUGAAUUCGGGAGAGGGAUGCGGAAUUCCAGGUGUAGCGGUGAAAUGCGUAGAUAUCUGGAGGAACACCGGUGGCGAAGGCGGCAUCCUGGACCGAGAUUGACGCUGAUGCGCGAAAGCCAGGGGAGCAAACGGG
rnacentral:rRNA from 1 species